CCCCCCCCCCCAAAAGAAAAAAAAAAUCUGGUCUGGAUUGUGGCAGCAUUUGGUCUACCCACCCUUGCAUCUCUAAAAUUUGCCAUGAUCUGUUUUCGCCCCUUUAAAAAUCUGGUAGGAAUCUUGUACUUAACAAGUUAGUCUGUAACCGCUCGCUCUUUGCCUCCUAAAAUUUGGGAUUAUCAGUUAUUAUGUAAGAUUAAAUGAAUUAAUGGAUUUCAAGGUCUAUUUUUGCAUUUGUUUCUUUUUUUCCUUUUCUUAACACCUAAGCAGAACCUAUCUUAAAUUAAGAUGGAGGUACUGUUGGAAAGCUAAUACCUAAAUUACGGGUGCCUUAUCAUCUAUGCUGUACUUGCUUCACGGCUAAAUAAUUUCUAGAAAAAGCACUAGCCAACUACACCGUCUUGUAUUGGAGAUCCAAUUUUUCAUACUUUAGUGGCAUGAUCUGUAUCCAGAAAGGAGUUUAUAGAAGUAGUCUUUUUUGGACUGACAAAGAUAUCUUAAUAUAUUAUAACGGAAACUCUUCCAUUUCGGCUCCACUUAUUUCAAUAUUUUCUUGAUACUGAGUCUCAUUGUACACACUUUUUCUCGAUAUCAUUGGACUAAUAUCUUAGUCUAGGUAGAUAUGGUUUCCUUUUUCAUUGGGCACUCUCUUUCUCUUGUUAAAAAAAACACUCUUGAUUGGCUGAUGCCAUGUGUGGUUUACCUUUCCAAAGGAUUCGCUCUUUCAAAGAGGAAAAAAAAUUCCUUGCUUUAUUUGCUAGAGGUCUUGGAUUUCAUCUUUACCAUUACCCUUGAUCUUCACAAUCACUUCUGUAGCAGGUGCAAAGGUGACUUUGGAGUUUUUUUGCCGGUUUCUGACACCUGAUUAGUCUCAGUAACAAUGUAUGGUUUCACAUACUUAUGUUACUUCUCUUCGAGAGGUUAUGUCUAUACAAAUGAACCAAAUUGCUUUGAAGUAACUUUUUAGUACUCUAUUCUAGUCACCCCCUCGCAACCUCUGCCACUGGGAAGUAAAGUUUUCAAUUUACAGCUUUGUCUUUGGUAACUAGUUCAUUUUGUUUGACUUUAGUCUCUAUUACAUGUAGCCUUUAAAGUUUGUAGUUCUUGAAACUUUUUUGUCGCCAAAGACCUAAUUCUGGUAAAGUAGUCUAUGUAAUUUUGUAGUAUAUCUAGCUUUUAUGAUCCAAAUCUGAUGAUGCUAAUCGAAUUUCUUUCUAGAACAUGACUAUUUCUGCAUGUUAGGCUACUGAUGACUUUGCUGCUUUGCCUUUCAUAUUCUUCCAAAUAUUAAUGAUGCUUGCUUGCAGGUCACAGCAAAGUUCAACCUUUAAGGAGAGCUCCUUCUUUACAAUCUUAGUUGGCGAUUGGAGUCUUACCAUGAUACUUUUUGUGUUUUAGACUCUAUUUACUUUUAGCUUGGUUACUUUCUUGUAAUCAUGAUUCAUAUAAAUUCUAAUAGGUUGAAGCAGCUAACAUCUUGCUACAAGAUAUAGGAUACUCUAAGAUGGCUAGAGAGAACUAAAUGUACAACCUUUGAAAGUAUUUAUAUGCUUGGUUCCGUUGAAGCAAUUACAUGCGGAACUUGUUUGGUCACUUUGUAUUGGGUUUUCUAGGAUGAACUUCAGGCAGACAAUUAAGUUUCUUGUCCUGUGAGAAUUGACCUUUUGUUUUUUUGGUUUUCGCUUGUAGUCACAUGGCAUUUGAAUUUUCUUGCAGGGACUUAUAAAAUGGAUAGAGGCUCUUUAAGCUAUGAGCUAAUUUGCAGCACAAGUAGUUCUCAUGUCUUUUGAUCUUUCCUUCUAGGAUAUUCUCUCGCAGAUAUUCUUUUGAUUAUCUAAGUCCUUUUCACCAUCAUCUUGAUUUGUCUUUCUUGUUUUUGGCAUGAUAGAAAUGUUUUUUUUCUUCUUUGUAGAGUUGCAACUGUGGUUGUUGAAAGGGGGAUUUCUUAUUUGAGGUCU